UACGGAGGGUGCAAACGUUGCUCGGAAUCAUUGGGCGUAAAGCGCACGUAGGCGGACCUGCAAGUCGGGGGUGAAAGCCCGAGGCUCAACCUCGGAACUGCCUUCGAUACUGCGGGUCUCGAGUCCGGGAGAGGUGAGUGGAAUUCCUAGUGUAGAGGUGAAAUUCGUAGAUAUUAGGAAGAACACCAGUGGCGAAGGCGGCUCACUGGCCCGGUACUGACGCUGAGGCGCGAAAGCGUGGGGAGCAAACAGG
rnacentral:rRNA from 1 species